rnacentral:lncRNA from 1 species
GACGUCGUGGAUGAAGGACCGCGUGUCCACCAUGACCAGAGUGGCAUCCCGUUGCACUUUGUAAUGUUCACAGAUAAGCUCAAUCUCCUUCGCGCUGAGGUACCGGUCGAUGCCAGCCAUGCUGCGGUGUGGGUCAACCCAAAAUGAUUGAGUUUAUCUUUCUUAUAUGGAAUGAAUUAAUCUGUCCGAAACUGGGUGCAUUCCAAGAAAUCGGUUGCACAACCCCAAGGCCGAGAAUGUGAAAGUGUUGGAAGCGGAUUACCAUGUGCAUAGCCAAGCUCCUAGUUGUAUUACUCACCUCAGCGCGCUGAGGAAGUGAUUUGGAAAUACAUAACCGGAGUUUAGUUUGUCGAAGUCCAUCAGAAACUCUUUCACACGGAUGCGAUUCUUGAAGACGUGUUGCUUAAGACGACGCAUCGCGCUGUCUAGGGAUACGUCCUGAGUCAUUUUUGUACAAAAUCCCUAUGCAAGAUGCGGCGUUGCAGGUAUAGACGACGCUGCUGCAAAAAAACGUUUGGAUAAUUGAGUACUACGUUGCGGAAUUAGAGGUAUUUAAUGUUCAC